rnacentral:lncRNA from 1 species
GGUUGUUGUGAUGACACUUGAUUGAUAUGUGCUAUGUUGAUUUGUGUGGACGUAAUUACUUGAUAAUGCAAUUGUUGUUGGAGUUGUGCAAUGUAAUUGGAGGUGUACUUUUACAUUGUGUUGGUGUAUGUAAGUUGAGUAAUUGCAUUGUUAGGUCUUUGCUAUGUCCAUGCAUUCAUUUGGUUGUUGUAAAAUAGAUGAUUCUUUUACUUCGGAGAUUGUGUAAGAGGAGGUGUACUCUUACAUUGAUGUAUCAUUUUGGCAUCAUGGGUAACGGCCUAGACGUUGGUGAACUUGGAUCCACAUGCAUCUAGAGGAGUCUAGAACAUUGCAUGCAUUGAUGAAUUGAUUGAUUGAAUGGUUGAUUAACUGAUUGUAUCAUGAUUGACUACAUGGAUUGAUGAACUUGUACAUUGGUGAAUUUAUUGAAUGAUGUGAUCUAUGUGGAUUGUAUGGAUGUACAUUGGUGGUUAUUGUUUAUGUUU